rnacentral:lncRNA from 13 species
AUGUGGCUGCUCCUCACCAUUGUCCUGUCUUACAGUAUCGUCUGCCUGAAUGGGAAUCAUACCACAACAGGUCAUGAAUAUAGCCUUGACUGUGUAAGUGAUUACCUGUUCACCAUUAACUGUUCCCUGAGCAUCCUGCCAGAGGUUGCUCAUACAGACCAGUCCUCUUACUGGCUGCGCAUUGAGGACCUCUCUUUCGGGACGGUAUUUGAUGGUGGGAAGCUGAAGACAACCGAUGGCUAUUACUCCUGUUCAUUGGACACUUCCCAUCCAGAUCCUGACGUUGAUCCAGAUCCUGAUGAGGAGUCCGAUUUUUUUUUUGACACUUCAAGAUUUAAGAUCACUCUCUAUCACAACAGAAGCAAUGGACAUGUAAGCGCCACCUUGCUGGAUAAGGAAUACAUGCCAGUAAAGCAUAGUAAGUGCUUAUUACGGAAUUACAAUACAAAACAUGACUUUGUGAUAUGCCUACCCAUAUGCAAACUUCAAUUGACAAGCAUAGCUACUUGUUGA